GGAUCUGUAUCUCAGUUGGUAGAGGGCUGGGCUCAUAUCCCAGUGGUCGUGGGUUCAAGUCCCAUCAGAUCCA
rnacentral:tRNA from 1 species